UCUACAAAAAGACAAUAUUGGUUUAGAGGAGGGUACUCCGCAACCUCUAAUAUGCCUUAAGAGCUUCAAGAAAAGGGGUAAUCCACUCUCUCUAAGAAGAAUAAGACUCCAAUAUUAUAACAAAAGAAGUAUCAGUUUAGAGGAGGGUAAUCCGCAACCUCUAAAAUGCUAGUACACUUCCAAGCAGAGGAGUAAUCCACACUCUAACAAAGAAGAAACUAACUCUGAUAUCUGAGGUGAGUGAAGUCUCGACAAACUGUCAUGGACA
rnacentral:lncRNA from 1 species